AAAUUCAGCGCUUACAAUCCCUAUUCCGCUAAAACUCUCAGCUCGAGAGAAACCGUCAUUGCAAACCCUAAAUUAUCUAAAACUUAACUGCUUCCCAUCGGCAAAUCCGAAAUCGCCAUUGAUGCUCAGUUUUUUCUUCAUCGAUAUGAUAUUUUCGAUUUUAUCUUCUUCACAACGAGUCACAGUGGUGGGAACAAGACUGAAUUUAGCUAGAAAUUGCUGAGAUUUUGAAGCGUAUAAUCCUCAAUUGUCUGCUGAAAUUUCUGGGCUAGAGGUAUAGCAACUUCGGUGCCUGGCUUCAUGGUGAAGACACGAUAUCAAAUAUUAUAGCAGUAGGAGAUGGUGAUAAUGUUCCUUCAAGUUCCAGGAAAAAGAGUCAUGUCUUUGCUGAUUUAUAUGGUUCAUUGUGCUAUACAUUCCAUCAUGUACGAAAAGUUCAGAAAGCAGUAUGGGGAUCAAACUAGGGUCGACGCUUGUUUGAACAUCAAUUCAGCCGCUUCUUAUGCUGAAAGUAUCUCAAGCAUAUUCAGGCAUAGCUCAACUGCUCACCAGGAUAGCUCUGCAUCUCUUCCUAGACUCAAUCUGUUCGUCCAGCAGCAGAUAAACUCCAAUGCCAUUGAUUUUGAUUACCUAAAGUAGAAUUUAAAUUAAAACUUGACCAUUCAUUUUCCCCCCAAUUAAAGGGAAAUAUAUGCAGCUUGUAUCUUCUAGUAUGUUAUAACAACCUUCUACUUGGCUUAUUCCUCGUGUUAAUAUCAAUACAGAUAGAUCAAACAUA